GAAGAAGAGCCAUAGCUCAGUGGUAAAGACUCUGCUUUGCAUGUGGAGGGUCCCAGGUUCCAACCUUGGCAUCUUCA